rnacentral:misc_RNA from 1 species
AAGUCGUAACAAGGUUUCCGUAGGUGAACCUGCGGAAGGAUCAUUCAUAAUUGAGUGUUUUAUGGCACUCUUUAAAAAAUCCAUAUCCACCUUGUGUGCAACGUUUUUAGACACCCUGGCGCUGAUAUCUCUUUUAAGAGAAGGAAAGCCAGGAUGUUUGAUUAACUUAACUCAACUCCUUUAAAACAGUUUGUCUGAAAACCUAUUUCUGAAUAACAUAAUUCAAAAAUACAACUUUCAACAACGGAUCUCUUGGCUCUC